CUAAAUUUGCCUCUCAGCUCUCAACUUUCACAGAUUUGAAUAGAUCUAAUUUAUGUAAAUGUUCAGAAGCUGAAGUAUGUGAAACCUGUCAGAUCGUUUGUAAAUUUUGAAAUCAACACGGUAUGUUUUUGUUU